GAUGAACGCUGGCGGCGUGCCUAACACAUGCAAGUCGAACGAAGCACUGUUAACGGAGAUUCGUCGAAGUUAACUUUGACUUAGUGGCGGACGGGUGAGUAAUGUAUGAGCAACCUGCCUUUCAGAGGGGGACAACAGUUGGAAACGACUGCUAAUACCGCAUAAUGUAUCGAGAGGGCAUCCUCUUGAUACCAAAGGAGCAAUCCGCUGAAAGAUGGGCUCAUAUCUGAUUAGUUAGUUGGUGAGGUAACGGCUCACCAAGACUGCGAUCAGUAGCCGGACUGAGAGGUUGAACGGCCACAUUGGGACUGAGAUACGGCCCAGACUCCUACGGGAGGCAGCAGUUGGGGAAUAUUGGGCAAUGGGCGAAAGCCUGACCCAGCAACGCCGCGUUGAAGGAAGAAGGUCUUCGGAUUGUAAACUCUUUUAUGAGGGACGAAAACAAUGACGGUACCUCAUGAAUAAGCCACGGCUAACUACGUGCCAGCAG
rnacentral:rRNA from 1 species